ensembl:misc_RNA
GAGAUGUUGCAUUUUCUAUCCGUGCUACAGCCUGAGCUGAGAAGGUACACCAGACUUCAAGGCCAGUGUACAUGGGGAGCCCGGCCAUCCUCACAAAACAAACACUCAGCACAUGUCACGCUGGGGGCAGCACAGCGGGGGAGCUGUCUGGAGGUCUCCUCCUGAAAUGCUGGUUGCCUAGCAACAGGAU